AGAGCAGUGGCUUAACAGUUACAGCACUGGCUGUUCUUCCAGAAGACCUGGGUUCAAUUCCCAGCACCUCAA
rnacentral:tRNA from 1 species